rnacentral:rRNA from 1 species
UCCUACGGGAGGCAGCAGUGGGGGAUAUUGCACAAUGGGGGGAACCCUGAUGCAGCGACGCCGCGUGAGCGAAGAAGUACCUCGGUAUGUAAAGCUCUAUCAGCAGGGAAGAAAAUGACGGUACCUGACUAAGAAGCCCCGGCUAAAUACGUGCCAGCAGCCGCGGUAAUACGUAUGGGGCAAGCGUUAUCCGGAUUUACUGGGUGUAAAGGGAGCGUAGACGGAGGAGCAAGUCUGAUGUGAAAAUCCGGGGCCCAACCCCGGAACUGCAUUGGAAACUGUUUAUCUAGAGUGUCGGAGAGGCA